rnacentral:rRNA from 1 species
CCUACGGGAGGCAGCAGUGGGGAAUAUUGGACAAUGGGGGAAACCCUGAUCCAGCAAUGCCGCGUGAGUGAUGAAGGCCUUAGGGUCGUAAAGCUCUUUUACCAGGGAUGAUAAUGACAGUACCUGGAGAAUAAGCUCCGGCUAACUCCGUGCCAGCAGCCGCGGUAAUACGGAGGGAGCUAGCGUUGUUCGGAAUUACUGGGCGUAAAGCGUGCGUAGGCGGUUAUUCAAGUCAGAGGUGAAAGCCCGGGGCUCAACCCCGGAACGGCCUUUGAAACUAGAUAACUAGAAUCUUGGAGAGGUCAGUGGAAUUCCGAGUGUAGAGGUGAAAUUCGUAGAUAUUCGGAAGAACACCAGUGGCGAAGGCGACUGACUGGACAAGUAUUGACGCUGAGGUACGAAAGCGUGGGGAGCAAACAGGAUUAGAUACCCUGGUAGUCCACGCCGUAAACGAUGAUAACUAGCUGUCCGGACACUUGGUGUUUGGGUGGCGCGAGACUACGACAUUAAGUUAUCCGUCCGUCGGGUAGGUACGGUCGCGAGAAGUUAAACGUUAAAGUAGUAAGUUAGUACGGCGUGACGUAACGUGCCGACGGACGACGACGAGGGAGGAGG